GGUGCAGCACUACAGGUCUGCUGGUAUACACAGUCAGAACAGAAUGCCUGGCCAUAGCCUCCCUGCGACCACCCUGUCUCCAGCUCGAUUGUCCCUGGGUGAGCCUCUCUGUGCUUCUCUGUAGCAAACCAUACUGACUCCAGGAGCCCAGGUCCUAUCACCUAUAUCUUGGGACUAUUGGUCUUCCCUGGCCUCUCGAGGAUCGAGUCAGUCCUCUCUCUCAUGUCCGCCUGCUACCUCUCUGAUGGACUGUGGUUCUGGUGACAGGAGCCUGGAGCCUGUUUAAAGUCCUCAUAGAACCUGACCGUGGUCCCGGCAUGGCCCGCCCAACGUUAAUGCCAGCUUAGGUCAUGGGCAAAGCUGAGACCUUUGGCUUGUCUGAUGGCCAUCUCAGGUUACCAGUGGUGGAAACCAAGGGCCAUAGGGACUGAGGAAAAGUUAAUCGAUGCUAGAAUCAGAAGUGAAAAUUGGUGUUGCGGGCUGGAGAGAUGGCUCAGCGGUUAGGAGCACUGACUGCUCUUCCAGAGGUCCUGAGC